UACGUAGGCGGAAAAUUAAGUCAGUAGUGAAAUCCUGCAGCUUAACUGUAGAACUGUUAUUGAUACUGGUUUUCUUGAAUAUAGUUGAGGUAGGCGGAAUGUGUAAUGUAGCGGUGAAAUGCUUAGAUAUUACACAGAACACCGAUUGCGAAGGCAGCUUACUAGGCUAUGAUUGACGCUGAGGUACGAAAGCGUGGGGAGCGAACAGGAUUAGAUACCCUGGUAGUCC
rnacentral:rRNA from 1 species